UACGUAGGGUGCGAGCGUUACUCGGAAUUACUGGGCGUAAAGCGCGCGCAGGCGGCUAUCCAAGUCAGUGGUGAAAGCCCGGAGCUCAACUCCGGAACUGCCAUUGAAACUGUUUAGCUUGAGGACGAGAGAGGUGAGUGGAAUUCCCAGUGUAGAGGUGAAAUUCGUAGAUAUUGGGAAGAACACCGGUGGCGAAGGCGGCUCACUGGCUCGUAUCUGACGCUCAGGCGCGACAGCGUGGGGAUCAAACAGG
rnacentral:rRNA from 1 species